rnacentral:rRNA from 1 species
CAGCCGCCACGGUAAUACGUAGGUGGCAAGCGUUGUCCGGAAUUAUUGGGCGUAAAGGGCUCGCAGGCGGUUUCUUAAGUCUGAUGUGAGAGCCCCCGGCUCAACCGGGGAGGGUCAUUGGAAACUGGGAAACUUGAGUGCAGAAGAGGAGAGUGGAAUUCCACGUGUAGCGGUGAAAUGCGUAGAGAUGUGAAGGAACACCAGUGGCGAAGGCGACUCUCUGGUCUGUAACUGACGCUGAGGAGCGAAAGCGUGGGGAGCGAACAGAAUUAGAUACCCGUGUAGUCCCUGUCUCUUAUAC